rnacentral:piRNA from 1 species
UAAGGGACUACUAGUAGGAGGGUCAAAGU